rnacentral:lncRNA from 1 species
CUAAUUAUCAUUGAAUAAUGUGGGGUGACACCUGGGGAAUCGGAAACGCACCCAUGUCCACUCGACUGGGGAUACCCGGUUGAGUGCUGCGAAUGCCCGCGGAUUUAGGGCGUGACAAACUUGGUAUCUGAGCCUAAGGUUUUAUUGGAGUCCUAGGGUGUCUCGGGGCCGUGGCUAGUAGAGCCCAUCUAAUCGGUAUGUUGUCGACCACAUCCAUAAGUUAAG